rnacentral:lncRNA from 1 species
AUGUGUAUAGAAAGAUUUCUGGACUGACUCUUUUCUGCAUCAUUUUGGUUUUCUGCACCCACAGAUGUGGAGUUACACAGCCAAGCACGUGUGAGGUCAGAGUCUUGCUUGCAGAGCAUCCCGCAGCUUGCGCCAAGCAGCUUGUGCGGAGAGCGUGACUAAGCACAGGUGUUGUUCAUAUAUUGGCAUUGCCAGGAUGGACUGGAAUUGGCUCUUCAUUGUCUUUUUCACUGCAAAAAGAGGAGGCGUCUAAAGAAGCUAGGAGAAGUUCAGAACAAAGAAAAGGAUGUGCGUUUUCACAUGAUAGAUAUGAAACUUGGUCUUCUUGGGAUUCCUUAGAUGCCUGAAAGGAAGCAUGCCCUUUGCAACCUUGCUGUCUAGCUUCGCUGCUUGACCCGGUGCCAUCUGAAGGUGUGGACCCAUGAGAGUCAGCCCUGGUUUCAAGCUGGGCAGGAUCACAAAAUCCUUGCAGACUUCACCUGUGCUCUCCCUGUGACGGAUGAGGAGAGCCAGAAUUGUUCCUCCCCUAGCAAGUUGAGUGUGCUCCAGCAGCCGAGGCUCCCGAUGGCAUAUUAACCUCUAUGAGAUACGAGAUGAUUCGGGGUGGGAUCCCUCGGCUGGUCUGACUGGACAGACUGGGG